CCUACGGGAGGCAGCAGUGGGGAAUUUUCCGCAAUGGGCGAAAGCCUGACGGAGCAAUACCGCGUGAGGGAAGACUGCCUAUGGUUUGUAAACCUCUUUUUUCAGGGAGGAAUCAAUGACGUGUACCUGAAGAAUAAGCAUCGGCUAACUCCGUGCCAGCAGCCGCGGUAAGACGGAGGAUGCAAGUGUUAUCCGGAAUCACUGGGCGUAAAGCGUCUGUAGGUGGUUUAAUAAGUCAACUGUUAAAUCUUGAGGCUCAACUUCAAAAUCGCAGUCGAAACUAUUAGACUAGAGUAUAGUAGAGGUAAAGGGAAUUUCCAGUGGAGCGGUGAAAUGCGUAGAUAUUGGAAAGAACACCGAUGGCGAAAGCACUUUACUGGGCUAUUACUAACACUCAGAGACGAAAGCUAGGGUAGCAAAUGGGAUUAGAUACCCCAGUAGUCCUAGCCGUAAACAACGGAUUCUAGAUGUUGAACAGAUCGACCUGUGCAGUAUCAAAGCUAACGCGUUAAGUAUCCCGCCUGGGAAGUAUGCUCGCAAGAGUGAAACUCAAAGGAAUGACGG
rnacentral:rRNA from 1 species